rnacentral:rRNA from 1 species
UUAUCGGAGAGUUUGAUCCUGGCUCAGGACGAACGCUGGCGGCGUGCCUAAUACAUGCAAGUCGAGCGGACAGAUGGGAGCUUGCUCCCUGAUGUUAGCGGCGGACG